rnacentral:rRNA from 1 species
GAUGAACGCUGGCGGCGUGCCUAAUACAUGCAAGUCGAGCGAACAGACGAGGAGCUUGCUCCUCUGACGUUAGCGGCGCACGGGUGAGAAACACGUGGAUAACCUACCUAUAAGACUGGGAUAACUUCGGGAAGCCGGAGCUAAUACCGGAGAAUAUAUUGAACCGCAUGGUUCAAUGGUGAGAGACGGUGUUGCUGUCUGGUAUAGAUGGAUCCCGGCGGCAUUAGCUGGUUGGUAAGGUAACGGCUUACCAAGGGGACGAUGCGUAUCCGACCGGAGUGACUGAUCGGCCACACUGGAGCUGGGACACGGACCAGACUACUGCGGGAGGCAGCAGUAGCGUAUCUUACGCAAUGGUCGAAAGCCUUACGGAGCAACCCCGCGUGAGUGAUGAAGGUCUUCGGAUCGUAAAACUCUGUUAUUAGGGAAGAACAAAUGUGUAAUUAGCUAUGGACGUCUUGACGGUACCUGAUCAGAAAGCAACGGCUAACUACGUG